AGAGUUUGAUCAUGGCUCAGAACGAACGCUGGCGGCGUGCCUAACACAUGCAAGUCGAACGAGAAAGGGACUUCGGUCCUGAGUAAAGUGGCGCACGGGUGAGUAACACGUAGGUAACCUGCCUCUAAGUUUGGGAUAACCUGUCGAAAGACGAGCUAAUACCAAAUAAGACCACGGUCUCUUUGGAGACAGGGGUCAAAGGUAGCCUCUAUUUAUAAGCUAUCGCUAAGAGAUGGGCCUGCGUACCAUUAGCUAGUUGGUGAGGUAACGGCUCACCAAGGCAAAGAUGGUUAGCUGGUCUGAGAGGAUGAUCAGCCACACUGGAACUGAGACACGGUCCAGACUCCUACGGGAGGCAGCAGUGGGGAAUAUUGCGCAAUGGGCGAAAGCCUGACGCAGCAACGCCGCGUGAGUGAUGAAGGCCUUCGGGUCGUAAAGCUCUGUCGGAGGGAACGAAUGCUCUCGAGGUUAACAGCCUCGGGAAGUGACGGUACCCUCAAAGGAAGCACCGGCUAACUCUGUGCCAGCAGCCGCGGUA
rnacentral:rRNA from 1 species